rnacentral:rRNA from 1 species
GUUAUAUGGUCAAGCGAAUAAGCGCACACGGUGGAUGCCUUGGCGGUCAGAGGCGAUGAAGGACGUGGCAGCCUGCGAAAAGUAUCGGGGAGCUGGCAACAAGCUUUGAUCCGGUAAUGUCCGAAUGGGGAAACCCACCCGCUUGCGGGUAUCCUGCAGUGAAUACAUAGCUGCUGGAAGCGAACCUGGUGAACUGAAAUAUCUAAGUAACCAGAGGAAAAGAAAUCAACCGAGAUUCCGUAAGUAGCGACGAGCGAACGCGGACUAGCCCUUAAGCUGGAUUGGUUCUAGGAAAACGCUCUGGAAAGAGCGGCCAUAGAAGGUGAUAGCCCUGUAUCUGAAAGGGCCAUUCCAGUGAAGACGAGUAGGGCGGGGCACGUGAAACCCUGUCUGAACAUGGGGGGACCAUCCUCCAAGGCUAAAUACUACUGACCGACCGAUAGUGAACCAGUACCGUGAGGGAAAGGCGAAAAGAACCCCGGAGAGGGGAGUGAAAUAGAACCUGAAACCGUGUGCGUACAAGCAGUAGGAGCUCCGCAAGGAGUGACUGCGUACCUUUUGUAUAAUGGGUCAGCGACUUACUGUUCGUGGCAAGCUUAACCGUAUAGGGGAGGCGAAGGGAAACCGAGUCUGAUAAGGGCGCAUAGUCGCGGGCAGUAGACCCGAAACCGGGUGAUCUAGUCAUGCCCAGGGUGAAGGUGCGGUAACACGCACUGGAGGCCCGAACCCACUCCCGUUGCAAAGGUAGGGGAUGAGGUGUGAUUAGGAGUGAAAAGCUAAUCGAACCCGGAGAUAGCUGGUUCUCCUCGAAAGCUAUUUAGGUAGCGCCUCAUAUGUAUCCUCUCGGGGGUAGAGCACUGUUAUGGCUAGG